UACGGAGGGAGCUAGCGUUGUUCGGAAUUACUGGGCGUAAAGCGCACGUAGGCGGCGAUUCAAGUCAGGGGUGAAAGCCCGGGGCUCAACCCCGGAACUGCCCUUGAAACUAGAUUGCUAGAAUCCUGGAGAGGCGAGUGGAAUUCCGAGUGUAGAGGUGAAAUUCGUAGAUAUUCGGAAGAACACCAGUGGCGAAGGCGACUCGCUGGACAGGUAUUGACGCUGAGGUGCGAAAGCGUGGGGAGCAAACAGG
rnacentral:rRNA from 1 species